GCGGGCCGCCGGGCCGGGCCUGAGGUGGGUGGGUCUCUGCGCCCCCUGCCUACCCCACUUCCCCCUCCAGUUCUCAGCUUCUCUUUGAAGUCCGAGAAGUGAGGAUGCGCCUCGUGGGUCGCAGCGGGGGAGGAAAGGGGAGAAGAGGGGAAAGUUUGCAAGUUCCCUGAAGGACAGAUACGGAAGAUUAUAAAACCAGCUUCUAGUUUGUCUCCAUGUGGAAGUUCAGCCUUCUGGCCUCUCCCGCACCUCUUCAGUAUCUAUCCUCCUACCGAGCACCCAUCUGAUGGAUCUCUCCCCACUGCAACCCACCCUCCUCUCCAGGACCACUUUUUCUUGCCUGUAAUUCUGGCCUUAGGAAUGCCCAGAGGAGAUCUGUACCCAAAAAGUAUGUUUGAGCAAAGCUAAGUCUCCAGAAUAAAGAUAAUCCCAAUUUACAAGUCAGCCAUUAGAGAUUUAAUUCUUUUACACCUUCCUGAGCACCUUUUGAAAAAAUAUCAAUAUCCUUUUAGGGGUUAAGAUUUCAAGUCAUUACCAGUUUAUGCUCCCAAGGGAUGCCUUAAGCUAUGUGCCAACCUCCGGUGGAAAAUUAAAUUCAGGACAGGCCUUGAAGGAUGGUGCUAGGAGGAAAAGGGAC
rnacentral:lncRNA from 1 species